UUGGUGAUAAACCCAAACCCACCCCUUAAACCUUUCUCUGUCUCUCCCGUGAAACAAAUUCCAAAAGAAAAAAAACCCCAACCCUUAAAACUGAAAACCCCGAACCCGAAACCUCACACUCUCUCUCUCCUCCCCGUGAACCCUUCGUUUCUCUCACGCUCGCCUGCGUCGCGCCUCGCCGGCAUUUUUCGAGGCUGCCGAAAAUCUGCACCACUCUGUUCUCCUCUGUUUCGUUGCUGCUAGUGUUAUUCGUGGGUGUCGCCCUGCGUUGCUGCUCCUCGUGCGUCGCGUCGUACCACGACCGCAGUUUCGCCGGAGCUUCCCUCCUCGGCUCGCGCUGCUGCUAGUGUCGUUGUUGUUGUUCGGCUUUGGUCGUCACCUUCCCUGCCUUGUUUUCUCUCCCCUGUUCGAGUGUCGUUGCUGCUGUCCUUGUUGGGCGCUAAUGGUGGUGAUCUUGUUGUGCUGCGGUGCAGCCACUGGUGGUUGUAAUCGCAACUCCUUCUCCCUCUUUGAAGGUACUAGACCUUCCUUUGUUCUUUCCUUUGAUUUUUUUUAUGUUGUUCCAUCUGAUUUUGAGUGGAGAUUAACAAUUGGAAUUUGAAUUGUUGAUGUUAAUUGUUGAUUGUGUGGUUUGAUUGUAUAAGUGGUGUUAUAUUGGUUUAGUUUGAUAAUUUAGAGUUGUAGAUAUGGAAUGAGGAUUAAGGAAAUUCAAAUAUCUAAGUGGAGGAUUGCUAGAUUGGGAAUUGGUUAUGGAUUCGCUUUGUAGUUUAGAUUAGUUUAAGGAUAGUUAUUAAUUAUCGUUAUUGUUAUGAGGUAAGUUAUUCGAGAACGAUUAUGGAGUUUGAGUCUCAUUUGGAGAUGAAGAUUAAUGAAGGAGGUUGUAUUGUUCAGAUCUGGAUCGCGUAUGAGGUUUGGUAUCAAGAGCUCCAGAAUGGAAGUGAAGCAAGAUUAUGGUGUCGUCCUAGAUUUAGGAUUGAGUUUGUAUAUAGAUAGCUGAUUUGAAAAUAGUUAUUUAUGCUUCGUUGUAUAUGAUAUUUGAGAAUAUUAUUGGAGAUAUUGGUGUAUUUAAGGAUA